rnacentral:lncRNA from 1 species
UCUCUUAACACAAAACACAUAACAUGACACAUAACCAAAAGCCAUAGUUUUAAACAAGUUUAAUGGAAUAUAUAUGUCUAAACAUAACUAUCAACUUAAAUAUAAUCACCACAAUCUUAGAAUGCUGAAGACAAUACUGAGUUACUUGAACAAACCAAUAACAUCCAUAGUAAUUACACUUCACAAACUUAAAACCAUUCCAAAAUGAGCAAGCCCGAAGCAACCCAUGCAUUUCCCUCCGCGCACCAUGAGGUUAACGUAUGAGAAAUUUUGAAGUAUUUGGGUCGAAGCUUGCUAUUAACUAAAUCUAUGUAGCAAACCAUAGAAAUAAAACUAAAAACAGCAGGUAGAUCCAGCUGAAACAACAAAAUAACUUCCUAUACCUCUAGAUUAAUUAUAAUCAGGUUACAAGAUCCAACAAUAAAUUAAUGGAGGAAACAAAAUGAUGGAAUAGGAGUCAAACCUUGGAUUAAUCAUCAUUAUGUUAGAAAACACAAAAAUGGAGCAAUUAGAGAACAGAAGCACGAACUGCUCAACUGUAAUUGCCCAAUCAAAAGAGACCUAGUCUAUAGCAAAAUACAA